ensembl:snRNA U6 U6 spliceosomal RNA
UGGCUCACUUUGGCAGCAUAUAUACUAAAAUUGGAAUGAUACAGAGAAGAUUAGCACAGCCCCUGGGCAAGGAUGACAGGCAAGUUUGUGAAACAUUCUAUCUUUUU